GUCCCCUACCUGAUUAGCUAGACACAGAGCGCUGACUGGUGCGUUUACAAACCUUUAGCUAGACACAGUGCUGAUUGGUGCGUUUACAAUCUUUUAGCUAGACAGAAAAGUUCUCCAAGUCCCCAUCCGUCCCAGAAGCCCAGCCGGCUUCAUCUCUCACUGGCAUUGGCAGGGCAGCGGGACUUUGCGACACCUAGCCCGGGCACUCCAGCAGCCCAGAGGGAGCUCCUCCCAGACAAUCAAGAGGGAAAGAGGGGAAGCAGAAAGAGACGGAGACCUGCUAUCUUGGCCAACGAUCCCGUGAAGAGGGAACGGCGGUCUACGCAGGGAAUUCAGCUUCCUAUCAAGCCUAGCAGAGUCCUGCUUCUCGCGCCCGCUGCACUGGGUUUGGCGUCUCUGCUGUUCGCUGAGAUCUGCACACUCCAGGAGCCAUAGGGAGGACGCCAGGACAGCCCCGAAGACGAGAAUGCCUCGCUCCUCCUAGGACGGGAGGAAAAUCCCACAAAUCCUGUCUACUCCAAGCAGCCGCGCCCCUCGGGAGACCACCCCAGUUGGAGGGGCCCACUCCAGCCACCGCUACACCGGGACGCGCUCCUCCUCCCCCUGUGCCCGCCCCUUCUCGUGAGGGACCACCAGGAGGCCCCUCGAUUCCCCAGCAAAACACAGGUUUUGGAGCCAGAGUUUCUGAGUUUGAAUGUUUGGUCUGCUACUGACCAACUCUAUGGGCUUGGGCCUGCAAAGAAAACAUCAAAGAAGAAGGUCAAAAACCAAUUACAUUCUAGGAGUGACCUUGAUGACUUAACUCUGUAAUCUGCAGCAACCUCAGAGGAUCAUGGGAUGCAUUAUGCACGUCAUGGAAUGGAUUGUAAUGUGUAACAUCUAUGAAAUCAAAGGAUGAAGAAGAUCGUGCCCAGAGCUCUCCUUGGGGGUGGAUGACAGAAUGAACAUUUACUCUGGGCUCACUGGAAAAGCUCCAACGUCUUGGAAAUUGAGUGGGUAUAAGGAAUGCACAAAUUAGUUUUCCUGUGACAGCAUGCAGAGCACUUUUCCAAGCCCCGUCACCUGUCCUUAGUUCCUCUGAACUAUACAGAGGAACAAAUCAAUAUAAAUGCAGAAGAGAAAAGAUGAGAUCAGCUGAUUUUGGUGUUGAUAUGGGUAAUAUCUGAUUUACAUUCAGUUUUCAUGUGGGAUCUCUGUGCCUGGCUUGGUUUAAUGAUUCAAAGUGACAAUACAGUCAACUUCUGAGAAAAUGAUCUAUGGAAAAUUGAAAGUUUAAAAUAUUUUCUUCCUCCUAACUUUGAAGAGGACUUGUUUCAUAUCAAAUCUGCCUGUUCAUCUGCCUGUCCGUCCACUCACUGUUUAUCCAUGGAUCUUGGUGUUAGCUUCUGAGGUGGUAAUGAAUUCAAAACCCUUCUGUUCCUACUCUCAUAUUAAAGGUUCAAAAAUCAACCUUGAUUGCAAUGAAGCACUAAGCCCACAACCACAACUCAGGUGAGGGCUGCCUUGAGGGUUGAAUGGGUUAAUUAAAUAAAAUGUGUAUUAUAUAUCUCGAAGAAAGUAGAGGUAUAUCAACUUGCUUGGUAUCUCACAGCUUAGCAAGUUCCAGAGGGGCACUCAAACCCAGGAGAUAAGCUUCCAAGUCAGGGCUAAUGCCAUGACACCCAUGAUUUAUGGGUGGAUUGGUGGCAGGACAAGAUAGAAAGGAACCAGCGGUGGCUCAGGGUUUUGACCUGAGCAACCAGGGAGAGGAGGUGUCGUGUAGACAGAUAGGAAAGACACAAUUCUUUGAACACAUUUGGGACUCAGAUAGUCAAGGCAGCAAGGAUGAAGAUGGUUUGUCUCAUCACCCGUCUUCCAGGUGACUCUGGUGGGCUCCCUCUUUGAAAGGGUGCCUUCUGGGGGCUGACUUUCAGGCUAGCGGUUGGCUUCUUUUGACUGGGGGUCAAGUGGGCCUCCAGACACCCUGAGCUGCAUGGAGAACAGCAAGGGCCUUUUGCUCAUCUGCAGUGUACAGCACUGCCUCUACUUCAUCUUGAUGCUGCUCCUGGUCAGUCUUCUCGGCACGCUGGGGACCUCCUUACUCACAGACCCAAUUCCUGUUAAACAAGUUAAGUGCUGCCAGGUAGGGUGCUCUGGGGUGGACCCUGCAGUUCUAGGGAGUCACUGAAGAAUAGGGAAAUUCCUGCAUUGUCUUUGGAAAGGGGAGGGUUUGGGGGAGCAUUGGGGUGGGCAGAAACAGGCAGGUACAUUUUAAAGGGCUCAGCAGAGUGAAACAAAGCUGAACUCAACCAGAUGUCCUGCAGCGAUUUGCCAGGUAUUCCUUUAGAUCGAGAAGUUUGGCUUUUAAAAUGCAAAUUUUCCUUGGAAGUUUUAAAUCCACCAACCUUAGUAUGAAUUAAUGCAAUCAGGGCACUCCCAGCUGUUACCCACCCAGGGGGAAUGAAGCCAAUGGACAUUCAGCCCCCACUGUAGUGCAGUAGGUGAGAGCAUGGCAGGCUCUGGAGCAGACUGCCAGGAUGCCGAUCCUAGCCUUGCCCUUACUAGUGUGUGUGAUCCCGGAUGAAUAUUUAACUUUUCUGUGGCUCAGUUAAAUGGAUGUAAUAAUAUCUACCUCAAAGAUCAGUUAUGAGGAUUAAAUGAGUUAAUCAAUGUAAAGCACUUAGAACAGUGUUUCGCAUAUGUACGCCUCAUCUUAGUAUUAGCUGCUGUUAUUGUUACUAUUAAUAAACAAUCCUUGAAGAGCAAGAACCGAAUUAUCUGUGCCCCACAAUACCCAGCAUCACUCCAUUACUAUGACAGACCUGCCACAUGUAUUUCUUGGAUGGGUUACUCAAUGGAUCUCUUUGCCACUUCUACAUUUUUCUUCUUCUACUUUGUUUUAUAGCAGAGGAGGGGCAGAAUUUAGGUGGAGUUCAUUGCUCAGCUGGACUGAAAAAGCUGAACUGGAAUAACUUUCAGUGAACAUGGGCAGUGGGUAAACAUUGGGAAUUUGCAGACUUUCAAAUGAGUCCUCUCUCGAGCACACAUCCUCUAAGUUAGUAGCAACACCAUUAACUCUUUGAAGACUAGGAAGGCACAGUCUUAUUGUCUCUGUAUCCUUAGUCCCCAGCACAGGGGUUCGUAGAAGAGGAAUGACUGAAUCUUCAGGUGUCUGUGGGCUGCCAGGAGGACACUUGGCCAAGAACUAUGUCUCAUCUUGCUUUCUGAGACCUCUUCCCCUCUUUUACACUUGUUCCUGUCUUUUGAAUACCAGGAAGCCCAGGUUGCCUUCUGACCUUCAGAGGCCCUCACACCACCUAUUCCGGGGGCUCCAGUACCAUCUUUCCCUGUAAAUGAGGCAGCACAGACUUUGAAUUUAGGCAAACCUGGGUUCAAGUUUCAGCUUCACUGGUAUCUUGCUACACUCAUAACCGUAGACAAUUUUACUUAUUUUUGUUAAGUCUCAGUAUCUUCAUCUGCAAAAUGUGGAUAAUAGUAACUAUCUCAUGGAAUUGUCAUGAGGGAGUUUCUUAAAUGUAGUUAUGUACAGAACUCUUUUAAAGGAACUCCUAAAAUCUCAAUGUUUAUCCAAAUGAGUUUUUCAAUAAUGCUACUUGGAUACAUGCAAAUAUAAUGUUCUAUAAUAUUUAGCUAUAAAUUCAAUGUUUUUAUACAACCUAAACAAAAUUACAAACUAAAUACAAAUAAAACUAUAACAUUAAUAAAAUACAAAUUAACAAUUUUAAUGUAACAGAUAAUGUUUUGCUGAAAUUAAAC
rnacentral:lncRNA from 1 species